CUGUUUCCAGUGCAGACUAAGUGCUCUUCUGGAGUCUGUCACAUCCAUCUGCUUUCAGUCCCGGGGCCCAGGGGUCAGCGCUCAAUCACAAGCCUGUGGCACCCCCUGCUGGUUAAAAGCCCGUGCUCAUUUUGUUACUUUACACUGAGCUAAACACUGUAGUCAUUUCACACUUCUUUUCACAUUCUAUGUGAAUUUAAUUAUCAUUUGUUUGGACUUCAUUUGUUACAGAGCAGAGGCAGUUCAUUACAGAUGUUCUCGUUUUAGCUUCUGUCUUCCUCCCCACCCCCUGCCCGCCUCACCAGCUACUCCUCAGGAUCCACGCCAGGCUGCAAGGUUCUUCCAUUGGCCCACCCGGCCCCACUUCAGCCCCAACCCAGCUUUUCUGUGAGGACAGCCAAGAAAGUAAGACUCCGCUUUUGCUGAAGAAAGCGCACAAUAUUGGGUUCUCUUAUGGUGCAAUGCGCAGGUAGGAGUGAGGUGUGUCUCCUUUCCGUCCUGUCAUUCCAGGGACCAGCAAAUUUAGCAGAAAGGAGGCUCGGAAGAGCCAAGCAGCACCUCUUGGGAAAUUAAAAAAAUUUCUGAAUUGCAAUAAAAUUUCAGGGGCAUUUUUUAGAGACAGCAUUGUUUAUGGAAUAUGAUCUCUAGUGCGCGCUCUCCCUCUCUCCCUGAUUUUCUGUCUUAAUGCCUUGUCAUAGUUCUUGAAGUCUGCCUGUCAGCACAGCAAGAGGGAUUUGUUCAUGUCUGAGUAGGCACCUUAAUGAUAGCAGAUGGAAACGCUGCGGGGGCCCGGCCCAUCACACUGCCAUUGUCGAACACUGCCCUGACCCGCUUCCACUCCGCUAUUUUUUUGUCCCUUUUUAAAGGAGAAAUGGAUGGUAAUUGAAAAGGAUCUUAAGCAAGAUUUAUGAAGCUGCAGACAACACGAUUCCACUCCCUCUCUAUGUUUUCACAAAUAAAGUCUUAACCUCUUAAGCACCGGUGACAGAACAGCUAAAGCUAAAUUGGUAAAGCUCGGAAGCCCCAUCCUGCCAAAGUUAUAUUCCUCAAAUGUGCCUCGCAUUAUCCCACAGUAAUUACCGGUUUUUGCUGAGGAUUGUGUAAAUUUUUGUAGAUUGGUAAAUUCCUGCAUAAAAUUAUCUGCCUUUCUAAAGAAAGGAAAAGGCUGCGGUCCAUAGCUCUGAGGAGCAGAGCAGAGCAGGGCUGCUGUGCCCAGUAUCUUGGAAAUGUAUGCAUAUUUUGACGGGGAAUAUCCAGAGGAGCUCUGAGGCUGCCCGUCAGGAAACUUAAGCACACUUUCUUGCCUCUUUAUACACGUAUACAUAUUUGCUUAGUUCACUCUUUAGCUGCAGAUCAGAAUAAAGGAAAGCAAUUCUGCAUAUAAGGUGUGUAUAUCGGUCAUAUGUUGAUUAUAAGGACAACAGCAUGGAUAGACUAAAUCUUAGCAAACCUAUGGGCUGCCUGGGUUUUCCAAAUAUCCAAAUCAUCAAAAUUUCAAAUACUGAAACAAAAACAGCCUCAGAAACCCAUGCAGGCAUUGGUAGAGGUUGAUAGGAUAAGUUAUGGUAACAGGUUACAGAAUUUUGUUUCAUCUACCAGAGUAGAAUAAAAUUAAAAUGCUUAAAAUGAUUUCUUAUGCUGUGUAAUUUUUACAACUAAAAUAUCCAUAAAGAAAGAUAAAUUUCUUUCCCCAACAGUCAAAUUUCAAAAUCUAAUUUAGGUACCUUGUGAGUGGAAUUAGUUUUAUGAUGAUAAAAACAGUAAUGAAUUCUAAAGUGGCAAGAAUUCUUGCUUUAGCAGGACCUUCCAAUUGCAAGAGAAAGACCUUAAUAAAAUGUAUGCCAAUCUUAUUUUUUUCUUAAUAUCACUGUCAAAGUGGAAGUAAUGAUUGACUAAUUUUGAUGUUUGUUAUAGUAUUUUAAAAAGACCACACUUGUUCUUGGCUAACUGGAUUAUAUUUAUGGAGUGACUGAUAAAAGGUCAGUAGUCUGGAAUAUCCUAAAAUCAGCUGAGGAUUGUAUCUGGAGAAAUUUCUAAGUGCAUAUGUUUAUUUGUAUUUCAUUUUUCUUUUAGUGUAUUUUUAAAUUUUGAAAAUAAAGCCCUAGUCUGACAUAAAGCACCAAGGAACCAUUAUCACAUUUUGCCACCAUGAAACCUUAAAAUUUGUUUGUCUACAAAGUUAUGACUAUAUAUUUUAAAAUAUAUUGCAAACAUAUGCAAUCUAUAGUAAGUGAGACCGUUUGUCUUCGGGAAGCAGUUGUGCUGUGUCUAAUUUCUGUUAGCCUGGGAGAGGAGGCGCAGGCUGCUUGUUUACCAAAGUUAAUUUUGUCCAAUAUUUGAGCCCUUCAGUCAUUCUUUCCCCCACAUUUUUAUUCUGAAAAGUUUCACAUCUAAAGAGAAGCUGAAAGGGUAGUAUAAUGAGCACUUGUAUGUAUUGCAUCUAGAGCCACCCAUUUAAAGAGUUUUCCAUAUUUGUUUUAUUUCUCUUACAUCUCCCUUUUCUCUCUCAGGUAGUUUGAACAUAUUUCUGGAUAAUUAUUAAAAUUUAACUCCCAAAUGCAGCAGAUAACUGAAGGACAGGGCAUUCCUCUGUAUGACAUCUAACACAGUCCAUUAUAGCAUGUCAUUAUCUAAGAAGCAGUCUCGGCUCAAGGUCCCCAAAAUGUGCUUUAAAGGUUUUUGUAAUCCAAUAUCCAAGUGAGCUUCCUGGAUGGCAUUUAGCUGUUUUCCAUUGUUGCUUUUAGUCUAGAAUCUCCUCUCUGCCUUUGUUCUGCUUUGGUUUGCCUGACACCGAUUCUUUCUUAAUAGAUUGCCCACGUGGUGGACUUGCCUGAGUGUUUUCUUGUAGUGAGAUUCAGUUCAAAUAUCUUUGGGACAGGUAACACUGUAGUGUCCUUUUCUUCUGGAGUUCACCAGCAAAUCUUUGUUACCAGUAUAGAGAAAAAAGGGCUCAUAGCCCACACAGUGACCAUCUUAAAAUCUAUGAUCUGUUUUCCAUUUGAGUCUAAUUUCCAAUUCAUCUAAAGCGGUGUAUGUGACAUGUAAUAUGAAAAUCAAAUCAGCGUAACACUUGGUGAGCUCAGAAAAAAAUAGUUGUUUGUAGUCAAAUAUUAAGGACUCAGAUUUUAAUUAGCAGUUCCAGAGUUCAUUAUGAAAGCAUUCAUUGGGUUGCAGUUAUACUUGAAAAAUGAAAAUUAUAGCAACAAUUGAGUGUUUUUUUCUCAACUUAAUACUUUCAUUGUUGCAAUUGUUUAUUAAAGUUAUAAAUGUUGCCACUGUUGUUGGUGCAAUGAAUCAGCUAAAUAAACUAAAGUAUACCUUUCAGAGGUGUGUAUCUGAUUUUAACAACAGUACUAUAAAUGGGAAAUUCCCUUAUUUCUGGAUUUUGUUAGUGAGACUGUGAUGCUUUAUUGCUGACCUGUGUUCACAUUUCAGUGUCUGUAUAAUUUGGAGAUAGAUUGUAUUUUUUUCCAUUUCCCGAUCUCCACUCAUCCCUGCUUUGACUUUGACCUUUGACCAGGUGACUGCGUUUGCCAGUGGUGGCCUCACAGUCCCUACAAGAGCAUGUUGGGAGCGACAAGUCAGUUAACCUUCGUCGAUUGACAUAAUCUAUCACCCAGGUCCGAGUUUCCCAGGGUGUGCAGCACCAAGAGCUAUUCUCUGAGUCGCCUUCCCUGACUCUUUGUGUCCGCCCUCCUUCCUAGCACAGUACGGUCCUGCCCAAAGACCCUUUGCUACCUCCCUAGGGUAAAAAAGUCCUGUGGGCCACGGGCAGAGGGUAGCUCCUACUUUGCAGAAGUAACAAUCUCGUUUGAAGUGUAAAAGCUGUUUUGGUGGUUAUUUCUAAAUUAAACAUUUUAAGUAGGGUCUGUGUUCUCCCCAUGAAUGUGCACAUUUAAACAUUUCACUCGAUGAUGAUAAAUUUCAAAAGAAAGCAGAGUGCCCGGAGCCUGGUAGGACCUGAGAAGAAGGGAGACCUGGGGCCCUGUCCUCUCUUCUGCCCAGGGUUGGGGCCCGGAUCGGCUAUAAAAGCGGGGUUUUCUGGGUGCUGACAGUAGGCCAGGCAGAGUUACCAGAGAAUUGUGUAAGAAUUUAUUUAGUUGUCAAAACAAUAAUUUAAAUCUCUUUGUUCCCCAGUAUGCUAUUCUCCAUUUUUCAAAGACAGAAGCCAAGACCAAAAGAAGUAAUUUGCCUAAAGCCACACAAAAGUAGUCAGAGUUCUGAUCCAGAUCGUCUGUUAUCUAAGUGCCUAACCCCUGUGCAGAGUGGUCCCAUUGAACUUUCUAUGGUGACAAAAACACAACUUUCUUACUGUUGAGCACUUACGAUGUGACUGUGGAACUGAUCUUUAAAUUUUAUUUAAAGUAAUUUAAAUUUAAAUAGGACUAUGUGAUUAAUGUCCAGCAUAUUGGAUAUUUCGGCCUGACAUUGAUAGGAGGUGGGAUUAGGAGAUCUGUCGGCAAGGCCCUGUCCAGCCUUACCAGUUUGUAAUUUAAUAGAUCACAGUGCUCCUUACUCUAUAGUUGGAAGGAGGAUGCAGGCACCAGGAGCUGUCACUCGAGGGCCCUGGUCUGGCCGAUUGCUCCCUGUGCCUAAGAGAGCUCGUUGGUUUUCCUUGCUUAAUCAAUAGCUCUGUCCCCCCAAACAUUGCUGCACUUUUUAGCCAAGAAUGAAUCUGUUUCUCCUUCCCUUUAUACAUAAAAAAUAACUCAGGGGCAUUCUUUUGUUACAGGCGCUUUUCAUUUAGAAGAUUUGUUUUGAGUACAAUAGUAUUUUAAGUGAUUAGAUUGUCCAGACCCUUUCUUUUAAAUUUUAGCUUUAUUUCUAACAUUUAUAUUAAGUAUUGACACAGAUAUUUCACAUUAUACACUUUAAUAUUCUUACCUCAUCUAAUCCUUUUUGUGUCUUUUUCUUUUUGGUACCAGGGGUCAAACUCAGGACCUUGCGCUUGCAAGGCAGGCAUGCUGCCACUGAGCCAAAUCCCUGGCCUAAUCCUUGACUGUGCAUCCCCAGGUACAGUAAAUGCUGUUUUACUGAAGUGAUUCAAAUCAGAUCUAGGUCCCCAAGAGUAACAAUAUAAAGCUGCCCUUAUUGAAUGCAAACUAAUUUUGUUAGAUAAUUUACUUACUUUUACACUCCAUUUGAAUUUUCUUUCUGUAUUUGAAAGAUCAUUUGACAUCUUCAUAAUGAUGCUCUUAUUUCUUGUAUUUCUCAGAAUAUUGACAAAAGUUGCUAUUAUCAGUCUCAGGAUUGGCUUCUGUUGAAUAGCAUGUGGUACCCAAGUCCUAACACAUAGGAGUUGAGCUGGGUCAUAAAUGGGUCACUUUUCUUUAUGGUUCUGAGGCUUGAAGCUAAGGCUUCCUGUGUGGUAGGCAAGCACUCUAUCACUGAGCUACACCCUUAGCCCUAAGACAAGUGAUUUGGCUGAACAAGGAAUGAAAUCCAAUCUUGCUAGUUUGUGUUUUUUCUAUGUACCUAGUAGAUUGCAAGGCCUUUAAGACUGUCUUGAAAAUGCCAAACCAGGAUGUAUAACAACCACUGUAAGUAUAAAAACGUCACUAUUGUUCCCACUCCAGCAUAUAGAAUAUAAACCUGACAACAAAGAUAGUCUCCACUACUCAUGAUUCUGUAAGAUUAAAAAUCAUUUUUUUUGGUUAUUGAUUAUUUAGUCAUGGAAUCUCGCAGUGUCAUAAACAAUUGCAAGGUGAGCUUUUAAAACCUUUUUGUUCCCAAUUAUAAAUACCAUGACACUGUACAAAGUUCUAUUUGAAAAACUCUGAGUUUUACAUUCUUUAUUUUUCUCACUAGUAGAGACUAAGAUGCAUACACUGUUACACUAGGAAAGCACAUUAUAAUGAAAUUGCUUUUUAUUCUAACAAAAGUAAUUGAAUAUUUUGCUUUACUUAGUUGGGAAGUUUGUGAAGGAUUUCCAACUAAUUUCGACUGUACCAGUCGAAAGAUGAAAAGGUGGACUGGGAAAGCCAUUUCCUGUGGAACAAGGGCGGAAUGGAAACUCCCGCACCACACUUCAUGGUUCGUACAUAUAUCGUGUUUGCAAUAGUACCUGACAACAGAAACGAUGAAUGCUCCGUUUAUUGUUAAGAACGUUUUGCUGUCAUAAUCCUAGCUGUCUAAAGGUUCUGCAAAAAAGUGCCAGCAACUGUGGUUCGAAGCAGCUGCCUGAGCCCUUGAACACCCAUUUCACGCCAGGAGGUUCCCUUGGGGACCAGAGGCAGCUGGCAGUGGCACUGGUGAGGAGACUGAAAAGGAACAUCCUGACUGGCUCAGAGGCCGGUGCUGCCAGCUGAUUGCUCCUGACUUUCGGUGGUUCCUUCAGCUGCACCGUGUAGGAUGGAUUUCCUGAAGAGUCUGAAAGAGCUCAGAAACCUGCUAGUUCUCAAGCAUAGCCGCUUACCGUCACAUUUGACGAAGGGAGGCGACAUUUAUGUGUGCUUUGUUGAAGACUGGUGUGUGUUACUAUUUGUAAGUACACCCAGUAUUGAUCGCUGAUCGGAGAUCUCACGGAGAUCCACUGAAACUGCAGUUAGGAGAAGGCAGUGCCCAGUCCGACCCCAGUAAGGAAACUACCCAGAGCUUCUGAGGCCUCGGCCUGUCCUUCUGUUCUGCAUGCGGAGUCACUGGAUCUGGGUCAGGAAAUGCACAGUACCAGAUGGGAUGUUAAGUAGAGCUGGCCUAACAAAGUAACACCAUUUCCACCAUCAGAGCAAAAGUAACAUUGAUUUACUAAUCAAUUGGAAAUUACCCCUGGAUGAAGGACAGAAAGAGGAUUCCUGGGAUCCUCUUUACUUAAUUGGAAAAUAAAGCUUAUUAUUAUUAUUAUUAUUAUUAUUAUUAUUAUUAUUUUAUCAUUACUAUGACUUUGUUGGGCUUGAUGUUGUCAAUCACAAAAUGCCUUUAUAAACUAUGGUUCCAGUUAUAACUGCUGACAUUACUGUUGCCUGAAAUGCUCUUACACUAAAGUUCAAGGGAACCCCUAAAUUUAACUAGGCUAAUUUGAGAUAGAAAUGUCAUUUGUAUGAAAAAAGAAAAAUAUUGGUAAGUAUUUCAAUUAAGAGCAAUUUUAUAUUCUUAAAAUUACAUAGUUGCAUCUGGAAUUUUGAUAGGAAGGAAAUAUAUUUUUCCUAAUAGAUAGGAAAAGUGAUUUUUCAAUUUGUUAUGUCUUUAGUUUACUGUUUGCAUUUGCUAUUCUGAUAAUAAGACACAAACCAGGAAGUGCAGUGCCCUGCUGUGUGGGCAGUGGGGGAGUGUCUGGGUGGGCGUGACCGUGUAGAGUCCACUCUUCUGUUCCCGACACACACCUGUUAAUCACGCACAAGGCCCCUGCUCUCUGACCCUUGUGGCCACCCGUGCUGCACGCUGGCUGCCAUCCUCCUAUCACUGGGAGCCUGGCUCCCCGGGAAGCAGUGGCACUGAAUUUGGCAAAAUGGUUGCUCCAAACCCAAAGUUCUCUUGUUGGGCUUUUGUGCUUUCCAAAGAGAAGACCAUUGGUGCAUUAUGGGACAGCUUUAUCUUUUCUUGCUUUUCCCAGUGAAAAUUCAAUUAAAUAAAAAAUGACUGUGUAAAAUAAAGGAGUUAUGUGAAAUAAUCUGAGGUGUGGAAAUUGGAAAAAGAAAUAGGAUUUUAGGACACUGAGAAAAAUAUUGAGCUAAUAAUCUGAACCAAGAAUAUAUACUUGAAAAUAAUGAACAGUUAGAGAUACACAAAAGUAUGUACUUCCUUAGAAGUAGCGAACGAAGGACAGAACCACAGUAGCCGAAUGUGGGAAAAGACAGAGUGUAAGGAAGCAGCUGGUAAUACAUGGAAAUAAAAGACAUCAGACUGUAAAUGGUGACAGCUGAAGUGUGCUGACUUUGCUCAGGUACUUAACUGCCUUCUGUCCCGAUAUCGGACGAGAAAAGCGAAACAGGGGCAUUGUCUCUGCUUUAGUGGGGGACACAGGGGCACCGAGGGGCUGAGUUGGGGGUUUGGGCGCCCAGUCAGCAGAUCAGGCAGGCCUGAGGGAGCCGAGUCUGAGCUCUGAAAGCAGACUAGGGGCCAUGCGUGCUUUUGUCUCAGCAGUUAUUCCAGAUCUUCAGCCUGUCAAGGGGAGGCUAUUACUUUAACUGGGUAUCUUAGAAAGGGAAACUUUGAAUAAGGUAGAGCAGUUUAGAAGGAGAGCAGAAAGGUAUAUCAAUAUAUUCAGUUUCAGUGAAGACUAAAUAAUGGGUAGAUGAUAUUCAUGGAAACUGUAAACCUCUGAUUCCUUGUUCCAGCCAACAAUCUAAACCAGCAGUCUGGAUCUACUGAUUGUGUCAUUUCCCAUCACCAGGGCAGUGUACCACACACCUGCAACUGUAAGGAGAACAGGUUUACUUUGGCUCAUGGUUUCAGAGGGUUCAGUUCACAGUCAUCUGGCUCCAAGGCUGAAGUGGCAUGGUGGAAGGGUCUGGCUAAGGGACAGCUGCUCAACCCAUGGUGGCCUAGAAGCAGCGAGAAUAGGGAGGGGUUGGGAACAAGAAGUCACCAAUGACCACCUCCAACCAGACCCCACCUCCUGCAGCUCUGAAUUUGCUCAUGAAUUAAUCCAGUGAUGAGUACAGUCCCCCCAUGAUCCAAUCACCUUCUAGAAGGCCCACCCGUGAACACGGGAGA